GACGAACGCUGGCGGCGUGCCUAAUACAUGCAAGUCGAACGCAGUGGGGACGGGUGAGUAACACGUGGGUAACCUCCCAUCAGAGGGGAUAACACUUGGAAACAGGUGCUAAACCGAUACUGUUGGAGGGUCCCGUGGUGCAUUAGCUAGUUGGUGAGGGAACGGCCCACCAAGGUCACGAUGCAUAGCCGAGCGGAGAGGGUGAUCGGCCACACUGGAACGGAGACACGGCCCAGACUCCGACGGGAGGCAGCAGUAGGGAAUCUUGGGCAAUGGACGAAAGUCUGAACGAGCAACGCCGCGUGAGUGAAGAAGGUUGUCGGAUCGUAAAGCUCUGUUGUUAGAGAAGCGGUACCUAACGAGAAAGCCACGGCUAACUACGUGCCAGCAGCCGCGGUAAUAC
rnacentral:rRNA from 1 species